UACAGAGGGUGCGAGCGUUGUCCGGAAUCACUGGACGUAAAGGGCGCGUAGGUGGUGGCUUAAGCGUGCGGUGAAAGCUCGGGGCUCAACCCCGAGUCGGCCGUGCGAACUGGGCUCACUGGAGCAUAGUAGAGGCAGGUGGAAUUCCGGGUGUAGCGGUGGAAUGCGUAGAGAUCCGGAAGAACACCGGUGGCGAAGGCGGCCUGCUGGGCUAUGGCUGACACUGAGGCGCGACAGCGUGGGGAGCAAACAGG
rnacentral:rRNA from 1 species